rnacentral:rRNA from 1 species
UACGUAGGGUGCAAGCGUUAAUCGGAAUUACUGGGCGGAAAGCGUGCGCAGGCGGUUUUGUAAGCCAGAUGUGAAAUCCCCGGGCUUAACCUGGGAAUGGCAUUUGGGACUGCAAGGCUAGAGUGUGUCAGAGGGGGGUAGAAUUCCACGUGUAGCAGUGAAAUGCGUAGAUAUGUGGAGGAAUACCGAUGGCGAAGGCAGCCCCCUGGGAUAACACUGACGCUCAUGCACGAAAGCGUGGGGAGCAAACAGG